rnacentral:rRNA from 1 species
GGAAUAUUGCACAAUGGGGGAAACCCUGAUGCAGCCAUGCCGCGUGUGUGAAGAAGGCCUUCGGGUUGUAAAGCACUUUCAGUAGGGAGGAAAGGGUGAGUCUUAAUACGGCUCAUCUGUGACGUUACCUACAGAAGAAGGACCGGCUAACUCCGUGCCAGCAGCCGCGGUAAUACGGAGGGUCCGAGCGUUAAUCGGAAUUACUGGGCGUAAAGCGUGCGCAGGCGGUUUGUUAAGCGAGAUGUGAAAGCCCUGGGCUCAACCUAGGAAUAGCAUUUCGAACUGGCGAACUAGAGUCUUGUAGAGGGGGGUAGAAUUCCAGGUGUAGCGGUGAAAUGCGUAGAGAUCUGGAGGAAUACCGGUGGCGAAGGCGGCCCCCUGGACAAAGACUGACGCUCAUGCACGAAAGCGUGGGGAGCAAACAGGAUUAGAUACCCGUG